rnacentral:rRNA from 1 species
AUUGAACGCUGGCGGCAGGCCUAACACAUGCAAGUCGAGCGGAUGACGGGAGCUUGCUCCUUGAUUCAGCGGCGGACGGGUGAGUAAUGCCUAGGAAUCUGCCUGGUAGUGGGGGACAACGUUUCGAAAGGAACGCUAAUACCGCAUACGUCCUACGGGAGAAAGCAGGGGACCUUCGGGCCUUGCGCUAUCAGAUGAGCCUAGGUCGGAUUAGCUAGUAGGUGAGGUAAUGGCUCACCUAGGCGACGAUCCGUAACUGGUCUGAGAGGAUGAUCAGUCACACUGGAACUGAGACACGGUCCAGACUCCUACGGGAGGCAGCAGUGGGGAAUAUUGGACAAUGGGCGAAAGCCUGAUCCAGCCAUGCCGCGUGUGUGAAGAAGGUCUUCGGAUUGUAAAGCACUUUAAGUUGGGAGGAAGGGCAGUAAGUUAAUACCUUGCUGUUUUGACGUUACCGACAGAAUAAGCACCGGCUAACUCUGUGCCAGCCGCCGCCGUAA